UACGUAGGGGGGCUAGCGUUGUCCGGAAUCAUUGGGCGUAAAGCGCGUGUAGGCGGUCCGGUAAGUCCGCUGUGAAAGUCGGGGGGUCAACCCUCGGAUGCCGGUGGAUACUGUCGGGCUCGAGUACGGAAGAGGCGAGUGGAAUUCCUGGUGUAGCGGUGAAAUGCGCAGAUAUCAGGAGGAACACCGGUGGCGAAGGCGCCACUCUGGGCCGAAACUGACGCUGAGGAGCGAAAGCGUGGGUAGCAAACAGG
rnacentral:rRNA from 1 species